GCAAGUCGUACGAGAACGCUUCAGCUUGCUGAAGCUAGUAAAGUGGCGUACGGGUGAGUAACGCGUGGGUAAUCUACCUUCGAAUUGGGGAUAACGUUGCGAAAGUGACGCUAAUACCGGAUAAUAUCAUAGAGACCUUGGUUUUUAUGAUCAAAGAUGGCCUCUCCUUGGAAGCUAUUGUUUGGAGAUGAGCCCGCGCCCCAUUAGCUUGUUGGUGGGGUAAUGGCCUACCAAGGCAACGAUGGGUAGCUGGUCUGAGAGGAUGAUCAGCCACACUGGAACUGACACACGGUCCUGACUCCUACGGGAGGCAGCAGUGAGGAAUUUUGCGCAAUGGGGGAAACCCUGACGCAGCAACGCCGCGUGAGUGAUGAAGGCUUUCGGGUCGUAAAGCUCUGUCAAGUGGGAAGAACUCCCGUGAGGUUAAUACCCUCAUGGUUUGACGGUACCACUGAAGGAAGCACCGGCUAACUCCGUGCCAGCAGCCGCGGUAAUACGGGGGGUGCAAGCGUUAUCCGGAUUUACUGGGCGUAAAGCGCGCGUAGGCGGCCGUUUAAGUCAGAUGUGAAAGCCCGGGGCUCAACCCCGGAAGUGCAUUUGAUACUAUUCGGCUUGAGUAUGGGAGAGGGAAGUGGAAUUCCUGGUGUAGAGGUGAAAUUCGUAGAUAUCAGGAGGAACACCGGUGGCGAAGGCGACUUCCUGGACCAAUACUGACGCUGAGGCGCGAAGGCGUGGGUAGCAAACAGGAUUAGAUACCCUGGUAGUCCACGCAGUAAACGGUGAUCACUAGGUGUAGCGGGUAUUGACCCCUGCUGUGCCGCAGCUAACGCAUUAAGUGAUCCGCCUGGGGAGUACGGCCGCAAGGUUAAAACUCAAAGGAAUUGACGGGGGCCCGCACAAGCGGUGGAGCAUGUGGUUUAAUUCGACGCAACGCGAAGAACCUUACCUGGAUUUGACAUCUCGGGAAUUUCUAUGAAAGUAGGAAGUGCCCUUCGGGGAGCCCGAUGACAGGUGCUGCAUGGCUGUCGUCAGCUCGUGUCGUGAGAUGUUGGGUUAAGUCCCGCAACGAGCGCAACCCCUAUCUUUAGUUACCAGCACUUCGGGUGGGGACUCUAAAGAUACUGCCCCGGUCAACGGGGAGGAAGGUGGGGAUGACGUCAAGUCCUCAUGGCCUUUAUGUCCAGGGCUACACACGUGCUACAAUGGGCAGUACAGA
rnacentral:rRNA from 1 species